rnacentral:tRNA from 1 species
GCUUGGGUAGCUCAGUCGGUUAAGCAUCCGACUUCAGCUCAGGUCAUGAUCUCGCAGUUUGUGAGUUCGAGCCUCACGUCAGGCU